AACGCACAUUGCGCCCUAUAGUAUUCUGUAGGGCAUGCCUGUUCGAGCGUCAUUUAACCCCUCAAGCCCAGCUUGGUAUUGGGUGCUUGUCCCGCCUCUUGCGCGGCGACUCACCUCAAAGUCAUUGGCAGCCCGCAAUCGCCGGCCGUGAGCGCAGCACAGACGCGCUUGUGGAAUCCGGCGGCUCGGCUCUCCAAAAGCUUAUUUCAACCACAAUUGACCUCGGAUCAGGUAGGGAUACCCGCUGAACUUAA
rnacentral:misc_RNA from 1 species